GGGCCGCUUGAAUGAGAUCUUGGCAUGAUCUCUAGAGCACUCAUGAAUAUCGGGCACGCGCAUGGCCUAGUAAGCGCAACACAGCGAUAACAGCAAGGAUUGUGGGGGUGUAUUGUGAUUGAUAAACCUCUAACACACGUCAAGUGUCUUUGGUUCAUAUAGCUUGCUAUACCAACUACACUGUGUGUUAAGUUUCUCAAUCUAAGACUGGUUCAUAUAGCUUGCU
rnacentral:lncRNA from 1 species